UCGGGUGUGGUGUAUGGAACACACUCCUCUUUCUGGUAAUAGUAUGUGCAGAAAUAUGGAUGAAAGGGAGACAACCGGGUUCGACUCCCGGUGCUCGAA